UCGAUUCCCUUAGUAGCGGCGAGCGAAACGGGAAGAGCCCAAACCAACAAGCUUGCUUGUUGGGGUUGUAGGACACUCUAUACGGAGUUACAAAGGACGACAUUAGACGAAUCAUCUGGAAAGAUGAAUCAAAGAAGGUAAUAAUCCUGUAGUCGAAAAUGUUGUCUCUCUUGAGUGGAUCCUGAGUACGACGGAGCACGUGAAAUUCCGUCGGAAUCUGGGAGGACCAUCUCCUAAGGCUAAAUACUCUCUAGUGACCGAUAGUGAACCAGUACCGUGAGGGAAAGGUGAAAAGCACCCCGGAAGGGGAGUGAAAUAGAACCUGAAACCGUGUGCUUACAAGUAGUCAGAGCCCGUUAAUGGGUGAUGGCGUGCCUUUUGUAGAAUGAACCGGCGAGUUACGAUUUGAUGCAAGGUUAAGCAGUAAAUGUGGAGCCGUAGCGAAAGCGAGUCUGAAUAGGGCGUUUAGUAUUUGGUCGUAGACCCGAAACCAGGUGAUCUACCCUUGGUCAGGUUGAAGUUCAGGUAACACUGAAUGGAGGACCGAACCGACUUACGUUGAAAAGUGAGCGGAUGAACUGAGGGUAGCGGAGAAAUUCCAAUCGAACCUGGAGAUAGC
rnacentral:rRNA from 1 species